rnacentral:rRNA from 1 species
UUGCAGGGUAUAGACCCGAAACCCGGUGAUCUAGCCAUGGGCAGGUUGAAGGUUGGGUAACACUAACUGGAGGACCGAACCGACUAAUGUUGAAAAAUUAGCGGAUGACUUGUGGCUGGGGGUGAAAGGCCAAUCAAACCGGGAGAUAGCUGGUUCUCCCCGAAAGCUAUUUAGGUAGCGCCUCGUGAACUCAUCUUCGGGGGUAGAGCACUGUUUCGGCUAGGGGGUCAUCCCGACUUACCAACCCGAUGCAAACUACGAAUACCGAAGAAUGUUAUCACGGGAGACACACGGCGGGUGCUAACGUCCGUCGUGAAGAGGGAAACAACCCAGACCGCCAGCUAAGGUCCCAAAGUCAUGGUUAAGUGGGAAACGAUGUGGGAAGGCACAGACAGCCAGGAUGUUGGCUUAGAAGCAGCCAUCAUUUAAAGAAAGCGUAAUAGCUCACUGGUCGAGUCGGCCUGCGCGGAAGAUGUAACGGGGCUAAACCAUGCACCGAAGCUGCGGCAGCGACACUAUGUGUUGUUGGGUAGGGGAGCG